rnacentral:rRNA from 1 species
AACGAACGCUGGCGGCAUGCCUAACACAUGCAAGUCGAACGAGACCUUCGGGCCUAGUGGCGCACGGGUGCGUAACGCGUGGGAACCUGCCCUUAGGUUCGGAAUAACGCCCCGAAAGGGGUGCUAAUACCGGAUAAUGUCUUCGGACCAAAGAUUUAUCGCCAUUGGAUGGGCCCGCGUUGGAUUAGCUAGUUGGUAGGGUAGAAGCCUACCAAGGCGACGAUCCAUAGCUGGUCUGAGAGGAUGAUCAGCGACACUGGGACUGAGACACGGCCCAGACUCGUACGGGAGGCAGCAGUGGGGAAUAUUGGACAACGGGCGAAAGCCUGAUCCAGCUAUGCCGCGUGAGUGAUGAAGGCCUUAGGGUUGUAAAGCACUUUUACCCGGGAUGAUAAUGACAGUACCGGGAGAAUAAGCUCCGGCUAACUCCGUG